ACCCACGGGUAGUCUCGGAACAAU
rnacentral:siRNA from 1 species